rnacentral:miRNA from 1 species
CCACAGGACAUAAUACUGGCCCC